GUUCCCCUCAUGGAGCCUCCUCAGCUCGACAGUCUGUCAGUGCAUUUGCUGGGAACCUGCUAGCCAUGUGAAUCGGUAGGCAAUCCAGGCAUUGAAGUAGCAGUUCCCAGGAGCUGAGGGCUAACUUACCUAUCUAUCAAAUCCUGUCUCUCUGCUGACAUCUGGAGAAACUAGGUGACACCCACACACCUGAGGCCUCGGCAGCAGCCCAAUUAAAGGCCUGGGAUUUGGGGUCUACAUUCCCAGAAGGUGAGGAUAAAGCCAGGAUGCUCUCUCGCUCCGCCUUGUCUCCUCUGUGGGCUUCUGUGGCCAGUUCUUUUUUGUGGCUGCCGCCUCCCUCUGGAUCAGCAUACCCGGAUGCUGCUUUCUGGGUUGACGGAGCCAUUGCUCAGGCCUGAGGAAAGAGGGUGAAGUUCAUGGACAUCCUUUCCAUUACUCAAGUAACUACACUCCCAGUUAUUCCAUCCCAAUGUUUUCAGACAGAAGAGAAAAACACCUCAGGGAAUAUGGUUGGGACAUCAUCUAAGAUACCGUAGGAUGUUGUAAUAAUAGUUAUCAACUGCUGCCUAACAAAUCACUACAAACCUGAAUGACUUAAAAUAAUGAUAAACAUCUAUGAUCUCACAAAGGUCAGGAAUUUGGGAGCAACUAAGCUGGAUAAUUUUGUCUGAGCCUCUCAUGUGGUCCAAGUCAAAAAGUUGACUGAGGCUGCAGUGUGGGAGGUUUCACAUGGGCAGCAAGAUGUGUCAAGAUGGCUUCCUGGAAGUUGUGGGAAAAAUCCUCGGUUUCUUGCUGGCUGCUGACAGGAGGUUCUUCUCCUUGUAGAUUACUCUGUAGAUCUACCUGACUUCAUGGUUGGCAGCUGGUUCCUCACAGUGAGUGUUCCUAGGAAAAAACCAAAGAAGAGACCACAGUGCCUUUUAUAAUAACACA